UACGGAGGGUGCGAGCGUUGUCCGGAAUCACUGGGCGUAAAGGGCGCGUAGGCGGCGCGGGCAGUCGGCGGUGAAAGCCCGGGGCUCAACUCCGGGUCGGCCGUCGAUACUCUCGUGCUUGAGCACUGUAGAGGCAGAUGGAAUUCCGGGUGUAGCGGUGGAAUGCGUAGAGAUCCGGAGGAACACCAGUGGCGAAGGCGACUUUCUGGCCUGUUCUUGACGCUGAGACGCGAAAGCCAGGGGAGCGAACGGG
rnacentral:rRNA from 1 species